rnacentral:rRNA from 1 species
UACGUAGGGGGCUAGCGUUGUCCGGAAUCAUUGGGCGUAAAGAGCGUGUAGGCGGCCCGGUAAGUCCGCUGUAAAAGUCAAAGGCUCAACCUUUGAAUGUCAGUGGAUACUGCCGGGCUAGAGUCCGGAAGAGGCGAGUGGAACUCCUGGUGUAGCGGUGGGAUGCGCAGAUAUCAGGAAGAACACCAACGGCGAGGGCAGCUCGCUAGGACGGUACUGACGCUGAGACGCGAAAGCGUGGGGAGCGAACAGG